rnacentral:rRNA from 1 species
UACGGAGGAUCCGAGCGUUAUCCGGAUUUAUUGGGUUUAAAGGGUGCGUAGGCGGCCUAUUAAGUCAGGGGUGAAAUACGGUGGCUCAACCAUCGCAGUGCCUUUGAUACUGAUGGGCUUGAAUCCAUUUGAAGUGGGCGGAAUAAGACAAGUAGCGGUGAAAUGCGUAGAUAUCUGGAGGAACACCGGUGGCGAAGGCGGCAUCCUGGACCGGUAUUGACGCUGAUGCGCGAAAGCCAGGGGAGCAAACGGG